UACGGGGGGGGCAAGCGUUGUUCGGAAUUACUGGGCGUAAAGGGCUCGUAGGUGGCCAACUAAGUCAGACGUGAAAUCCCUCGGCUUAACCGGGGAACUGCGUCUGAUACUGGAUGGCUUGAGUUCGGGAGAGGGAUGCGGAAUUCCAGGUGUAGCGGCGAAAUGCGUAGAUAUCUGGAGGAAUACCGGUGGCGAAGGCGGCACCCUGGACCGGCAUUGACGCUGAUGAGCGAAAGCUAGGGGAGCAAACGGG
rnacentral:rRNA from 1 species